rnacentral:rRNA from 1 species
GCCAGCAGUUUCGGUUAAACGAUUAAUUUUUUUAAGUUUUUUGGAAGUGUUUUUUUUUGCUUGAAGAAAUUAGAGUGAAAUUUAAUUUUUUUUGGUUUGUGAAUUACUUGAAAAUUUAUUAUGAGAAAGAGGAUUAGAUACCCUUUUACGUAUAGGUGGGAAGUAGUAUUUUUAUAUAGUGAAACUUAAUUCUUAUGGCGGUUUAAAGGUUUUAUAGAGGGGCUUGAAAUGUGAUAGAUGAUCCUCUAUAGAUUUGUGCUUGUUUUUUUAUCUUUUGUAUUUUUGUAAUAUUUAAAUUUUAUGAUUUGUUGUGGGAAAAUAAGAUUUUUUAUUGCAAAUCAAAAUGUAGAUUAUAGAUUAGAAAUUUUUAGCCACUUUAAAUUUUGGUUGUUAAAUUAGUAUUUAUUAGUAAGUUGAAAUUUUAUAUUUUUUUUGAAUUUUUAACUUUUGAUGUACAUAUCGCCCGUCGCUUUUAUUAUUAAAUAAAAUAAGUCGUAACAAAGUAG